ACACAUCGUUUAACAAUUUGGUCUGCACAAUACUUGAACAAAUAUGGGUCAUCCCAAAAGAAAUUCUUUAUUUCCGCAAAGAAUUUGAUCUUGUCUUGCUUGGUCCAAUGCUCUGGAAGUUUACCUGUAACAAGAUAAUUAACUAUAUCAGCAUACCAAGGUAAUACUUCCACACUCAUUAAUUGUUCAUCUGGAAAUGACUCAUUUAAUAUUAAUGGCUCUGUAAUUGUGUCAAAGUGAAGACGAGAGAGAUGGUCCGCC
rnacentral:lncRNA from 1 species